rnacentral:rRNA from 1 species
GACGAACGCUGGCGGCGUGCUUAACACAUGCAAGUCGAGCGGUAGGGCCCUUUCGGGGGUACACGAGCGGCGAACGGGUGAGUAACACGUGGGUGACCUGCCCUCAGCUCUGGGAUAAGCCUGGGAAACUGGGUCUAAUACUGGAUAUGACUCCACGGUGCAUGUCGUGGGGUGGAAAGCCUUGUGCGGCUGAGGAUGGGCCCGCGGCCUAUCAGCUUGUUGGUGGGGNGAUGGCCUACCAAGGCGACGACGGGUAGCCGGCCUGAGAGGGCGACCGGCCACACUGGACUGAGACACGGCCCAGGACUCCUACGGGAGGCAGCAGUGGGGAAUCUUGCGCAAUGGGCGAAAGCCUGACGCAG